rnacentral:rRNA from 1 species
AUUGAACGCUGGCGGCAGGCUUAACACAUGCAAGUCGAGCGGAGAGAGGUAGCUUGCUACUGAUCUUAGCGGCGGACGGGUGAGUAAUGCUUAGGAAUCUGCCUAUUAGUGGGGGACAACAUUUCGAAAGGAAUGCUAAUACCGCAUACGUCCUACGGGAGAAAGCAGGGGAUCUUCGGACCUUGCGCUAAUAGAUGAGCCUAAGUCGGAUUAGCUAGUUGGUGGGGUAAAGGCCUACCAAGGCGACGAUCUGUAGCGGGUCUGGGAGGAUGAUCCGCCAAACUGGGACUGAGACACGGCCCAGACUCCUACGGGAGGCAGCAGUGGGGAAUAUUGGACAAUGGGCGGAAGCCUGAUCCAGCCAUGCCGCGUGUGUGAAGAAGGCCUUAUGGUUGUAAAGCACUUUAAGCGAGGAGGAGGCUACUUUAGUUAAUACCUAGAGAUAGUGGACGUUACUCGCAGAAUAAGCACCGGCUAACUCUGUGCCAGCCGCCGCCGUAACAC